GCAACCCUACGGGAGGCAGCAGUGAGGAAUAUUGGUCAAUGGGCGGGAGCCUGAACCAGCCAAGCCGCGUGAAGGAAGAAGGCGCCAGGCGUCGUAACCUUCUUUUGUCGGGGAACAAAGGGCGCCACGUGUGGCGUUGUGAGUGUACCCGAAGAACAAGCAUCGGCUAACUCCGUGCCAGCAGCCGCGGUAAUACGGAGGAUGCGGGCGUUAUCCGGAUUUAUUGGGUUUAAAGGGUGAGUAGGAGGUCUGGAAAGUCAGCGGUAAA
rnacentral:rRNA from 1 species